CGCGCUCCUCUUGUCUGAGGGAUCGGCUGCGCAGCGGGACUGCAGGGGAGGGCGAGAGAAGGGCGGUCAGGGGACGGCGCGUGUGGGUGUGAGCUGCACCGCCGCGUCCCCGGGCCGCGGGAACGGGAGAAUAGGGGCAGCGCUGCAGGCAGCGACGGCGGGCUGGAGGAGCGGAGCCGGGGCAAGACCGCACGGCUCCGUACGUGCAGAGCUGAGGAGCUUCCCGAGCGCUGCCCUUCGCACCGAAGAGGGCUGAAGGGGAGGAGAGCGAGGUAACCAAUAGGUUGUCCCAGGAGAAAGCGAAACAGGGACACACCCACCACCCUCCCCGCCAAGCAAAGACCGGGCUGCCCGCGGCUGUACUCCGCACUGCCCGCCAAGCUGCAUGGAGGGGAAGGGAAGGGGUGGGCAGAGCAGGACACGAAGGGCCGCCCGGCUGCCUCCUCCCGAGUCACGGUGACACCCCGCUCACCCCACGCCGAGCCGGACCCAUCGCGCACGUACCCGGGUGACCCUGCCGGGCACCCGAGAGCAGUAGGACGGGGCGCGGUGCUGCCGCCGCGGCCACGGGCGGGCCGCUCUCGGGCCCGUAACUCGGGCCUUGCUUACGCCCCCAUGGCUUCUGUAACCGGGGAAGCCAAGACACAGGACAUAAAACAUUACUGGAAAACACUAACAUUUUCCUCCUUCGGUACACAUGUACUGCUCGCUCGGAGUUCCCUUCAAACCUGUUUAGUUGUUCAAAGUGUUUUGUUGCAACUCUCUGCAUACAGAUCAGGUGACUAGAUUGAAGCUCCCCAUGCCCUCCCAGUAUUAAGAUAUGAAUCAACUGCCCGCACCUGUGAUUUGAAAACCCGCCACAUAGCACAGUUCCAAUAAAUCUUGUGGGGAAUCCUGAACCCCUCUUCGGAGGAUUAUUGACAGACUAAACAAAUUUAAGAUAGAUGCUGUUAAGAUAGACAAUGGUAAUUGCCAUUGUCUUCCUGGCAGGACAGCCACGAAGAACACUGUACAUGUGUACUGGGUAACAUGCAAAAACCUGCCAAGUGCAAGCUAAGAUGUAGAUUUGCACUUGCCUGUGAAGUAUCCAGAGAGGAGUUCUCCACACUGAGGUCCACACUAUGAUUCUGGUCAGGAACUUCAAAUGAAGCAAUAGCAAAGACUAGGUACAGCCUCACAGCUGAUGCCAUACUGCACCAGACAGGAAGAGAACAGACUAGAAACAGAAGAAAUCAUGUACAUCACUUAUGAUUCAACAAUCUGUACUUGCCUCUCAUGUUGGUGUUCAUGCCUCCUCCAGAGGAUCCAUGAGAAUGUCCAUGGCUGUGGCCAUGGUCACUGUGGGAAUGGCCGUGCCCGUGGCUGUGGCUGUGGCCAUGGUGAGAAUGGCUGUGAUCAUGUGCAGGACAGCCUCCCCGAGAAGCCCCGUGGGAGUGAGCGUGGCUGAAGGCACAGAUA